UACGGAGGGUGCAAGCGUUAAUCGGAAUUACUGGGCGUAAAGCGUGCGUAGGCGGUUCGUUAAGUCUGUUGUGAAAGCCCCGGGCUCAACCUGGGAAUGGCAAUGGAUACUGGCGAGCUAGAGUGUGUCAGAGGAUGGUGGAAUUCCCGGUGUAGCGGUGAAAUGCGUAGAGAUCGGGAGGAACAUCAGUGGCGAAGGCGGCCAUCUGGGACAACACUGACGCCUGAGGCACGAAAGCGUGGGAG
rnacentral:rRNA from 1 species